AUUGAACGCUAGCGGGAUGCCUUACACAUGCAAGUCGAACGGCAGCGCGGACUUCGGUCUGGCGGCGAGUGGCGAACGGGUGAGUAAUGUAUCGGAACGUGCCCAGUAGCGGGGGAUAACUACUCGAAAGAGUAGCUAAUACCGCAUACGCCCUACGGGGGAAAGGGGGGGAUCGCAAGACCUCUCAAUAUUGGAGCGGCCGAUAGGGGAUUAGCGAGUUGGUGAGGUAAAGGCUCACCAAGGCGACGAUCCGUAGCUGGUUUGAGAGGACGACCAGCCAGACUGGGACUGAGACACGGCCCAGACUCCUACGGGAGGCAGCAGUGGGGAAUUUUGGACAAUGGGGGAAACCCUGAGCCAGCCAUUCCGCGUGUGCGAUGAAGGCCUUCGGGUUGUAAAGCACUUUUGGCAGGAAAGAAAUCGCAUCAAUUAAUACUUGGUGUGGAUGACGGUACCUGCAGAAUAAGCACCGGCUAACUACGUGCCAGCAGCCGCCGUAA
rnacentral:rRNA from 1 species